CAGCACCUCAAGUGGUCAGGAUGAUUAUUGGGCCUAAAGCAUCCGUAGCCUGCUUUGUUAGUUUUCGGUUAAAUCCAUACGCUCAACGCAUGGGCUGCCGGGAAUACUGCAAAGCUAGGGAGUGGGAGAGGUAGACGGUACUCGGUAGGAAGGGGUAAAAUCCUUUGAUCUAUUGAUGACCACCUGUGGCGAAGGCGGUCUACCAGAACACGUCCGACGGUGAGGGAUGAAAGCUGGGGGAGCAAACCGGAUUAGAUACCCGUGUAGUCC
rnacentral:rRNA from 1 species